rnacentral:rRNA from 1 species
UGAAUCCAUAGGUUAAUGAGGCGAACCGGGGGAACUGAAACAUCUAAGUACCCCGAGGAAAAGAAAUCAACCGAGAUUCCCCCAGUAGCGGCGAGCGAACGGGGAGCAGCCCAGAGCCUGAAUCAGUAUGUGUGUUAGUGGAAGCGUCUGGAAAGGCGCGCGAUACAGGGUGACAGCCCCGUACACAAAAAUGCACAUGCUGUGAGCUCGAUGAGUAGGGCGGGACACGUGGUAUCCUGUCUGAAUAUGGGGGGACCAUCCUCCAAGGCUAAAUACUCCUGACUGACCGAUAGUGAACCAGUACCGUGAGGGAAAGGCGAAAAGAACCCCGGCGAGGGGAGUGAAAAAGAACCUGAAACCGUGUACGUACAAGCAGUGGGAGCACGCUUAGGCGUGUGACUGCGUACCUUUUGUAUAAUGGGUCAGCGACUUAUAUUCUGUAGCAAGGUUAACCGAAUAGGGGAGCCGAAGGGAAACCGAGUCUUAACUGGGCGUUAAGUUGCAGGGUAUAGACCCGAAACCCGGUGAUCUAGCCAUGGGCAGGUUGAAGGUUGGGUAACACUAACUGGAGGACCGAACCGACUAAUGUUGAAAAAUUAGCGGAUGACUUGUGGCUGGGGGUGAAAGGCCAAUCAAACCGGGAGAUAGCUGGUUCUCCCCGAAAGCUAUUUAGGUAGCGCCUCGUGAAUUCAUCUCCGGGGGUAGAGCACUGUUUCGGCAAGGGGGUCAUCCCGACUUACCAACCCGAUGCAAACUGCGAAUACCGGAGAAUGUUAUCACGGGAGACACACGGCGGGUGCUAACGUCCGUCGUGAAGAGGGAAACAACCCAGACCGCCAGCUAAGGUCCCAAAGUCAUGGUUAAGUGGGAAACGAUGUGGGAAGGCCCAGACAGCCAGGAUGUUGGCUUAGAAGCAGCCAUCAUUUAAAGAAAGCGUAAUAGCUCACUGGUCGAGUCGGCCUGCGCGGAAGAUGUAACGGGGCUAAACCAUGCACCGAAGCUGCGGCAGCGACGCUGAUGCGUUGUUGGGUAGGGGAGCGUUCUGUAAGCCUGCGAAGGUGUGCUGUGAGGCAUGCUGGAGGUAUCAGAAGUGCGAAUGCUGACAUAAGUAACGAUAAAGCGGGUGAAAAGCCCGCUCGCCGGAAGACCAAGGGUUCCUGUCCAACGUUAA